GACGUGUACGCGACGUACCAGCUGACGGGCCCGUACGAGCUGAGCAUCCGCACGAACGCGACGGCGCUGAACAAGGCGACGCCGGUGAACUUCCUGCAGCACGUGUACCUGAACCUGGGCGGGGAGGGCAGCGGCGACAUCCUGGGCCACACGCUCCAGCUCUCCGCAUCCCGGUACACCCCGAUGGACGAGGAGCUGCUCCCGUCGUCGGGCCGCGUCGACCCGGUGGCCGGCACGAACUACGACUUCCGCACGCCGACGCCGAUCGGCGCGCGCAUCCGGAAGGUCAAGGGCGGCAAAGUCUACGGGUACGACAUCAACUACGUGAUCGAUGGGGAGGGAAUGCGGAAGGUGGCGGUGGCGCGGGACGGCAAGUCCGGGCGCGCGCUGGAGCUAUGGACCAACCAGCCGGCCAUGCAGCUCUACACCGGCAACUUCCUGAACCACACCAAGGGGAAGGGCGGCAAGCUGUACGAGCAGCACGACGGGUUUUGCCUUGAGACGCAGGCGUACCCGGACGCCGUCAAUCACCCCGAGUUCCCGUCGGUGACAGUCAGGCCCGGCCAGGUGUACAAGCACGACAUGCUCUACAAGUUCUCCUUCUAGCUAAGGCUGGACUAUGGCUGCGCUACGCCAGUAGUAGUAGUACCACCAUUGGUUAAUGGGCCGUAGAUGUGUUCACUCUGGAUUUGGAGGUGGCGCGAUUCGUGGGACUGGAUGCUGUUAUGCGGUGAGCCCAGAACGGCUACGGUGCUUGGAAAAUAAAAUCAUGCGUUUGUGCAGUGCAAAAGAUCCGCUCAAUAAGAAAAAAGAAAUAAAAAUUGUGCGAACAUUAGUCCUUU
rnacentral:lncRNA from 1 species